GAGUUUGAUCAUGGCUCAGAUUGAACGCUGGCGGCAGGCCUAACACAUGCAAGUCGAACGGUAACAGGAAACAGCUUGCUGUUUCGCUGACGAGUGGCGGACGGGUGAGUAAUGUCUGGGAAACUGCCUGAUGGAGGGGGAUAACUACUGGAAACGGUAGCUAAUACCGCAUAACGUCGCAAGACCAAAGAGGGGGACCUUCGGGCCUCUUGCCAUCAGAUGUGCCCAGAUGGGAUUAGCUAGUAGGUGGGGUAACGGCUCACCUAGGCGACGAUCCCUAGCUGGUCUGAGAGGAUGACCAGCCACACUGGAACUGAGACACGGUCCAGACUCCUACGGGAGGCAGCAGUGGGGAAUAUUGCACAAUGGGCGCAAGCCUGAUGCAGCCAUGCCGCGUGUAUGAAGAAGGCCUUCGGGUUGUAAAGUACUUUCAGCGGGGAGGAAGGGAGUAAAGUUAAUACCUUUGCUCAUUGACGUUACCCGCAGAAGAAGCACCGGCUAACUCCGUGCCAGCAGCCGCGGUAAUACGGAGGGUGCAAGCGUUAAUCGGAAUUACUGGGCGUAAAGCGCACGCAGGCGGUUUGUUAAGUCAGAUGUGAAAUCCCCGGGCUCAACCUGGGAACUGCAUCUGAUACUGGCAAGCUUGGGUCUCGUAGAGGGGGGUAGAAUUCCAGGUGUAGCGGUGAAAUGCGUAGAGAUCUGGAGGAAUACCGGCGGCGAAGGCGGCCCCCUGGACGAAGACUGACGCUCAGGUGCGAAAGCGUGGGGAGCAAACAGGAUUAGAUACCCUGGUAGUCCACGCCGUAAACGAUGUCGACUUGGAGGUUGUGCCCUUGAGGCGUGGCUUCCGGAGCUAACGCGUUAAGUCGACCGCCUGGGGAGUACGGCCGCAAGGUUAAAACUCAAAUGAAUUGACGGGGGCCCGCACAAGCGGUGGGGCAUGUGGUUUAAUUCGAUGCAACGCGAAGAACCUUACCUGGUCUUGACAUCCACGGAAGUUUUCAGAGAUGAGAAUGUGCCUUCGGGAACCGUGAGACAGGUGCUGCAUGGCUGUCGUCAGCUCGUGUUGUGAAAUGUUGGGUUAAGUCCCGCAACGAGCGCAACCCUUAUCCUUUGUUGCCAGCGGUCCGGCCGGGAACUCAAAGGAGACUGCCAGUGAUAAACUGGAGGAAGGUGGGGAUGACGUCAAGUCAUCAUGCCCCUUACGACCAGGGCUACACACGUGCUACAAUGGCGCAUACAAAGAGAAGCGACCUCGCGAGAGCAAGCGGACCUCAUAAAGUGCGUCGUAGUCCGGAUUGGAGUCUGCAACUCGACUCCAUGAAGUCGGAAUCGCUAGUAAUCGUGGAUCAGAAUGCCACGGUGAAUACGUUCCCGGGCCUUGUACACACCGCCCGUCACACCAUGGGAGUGGGUUGCAAAAGAAGUAGGUAGCUUAACCUUCGGGAGGGCGCUUACCACUUUGUGAUUCAUGACUGGGGUGAAGUCGUAACAAGGUAACCGUAGGGGAACCUGCGGUUG
rnacentral:rRNA from 1 species